rnacentral:rRNA from 1 species
UACAGAGGGGGCAAGCGUUGUUCGGAAUUACUGGGCGUAAAGGGCGCGUAGGCGGCCUGCUAAGUCGAACGUGAAAUCCCUGGGCUCAACCCCAGGAACUGCGUCCGAUACUGGUUGGCUUGAAUCCGGGAGAGGGAUGUGGAAUUCCAGGUGUAGCGGUGAAAUGCGUAGAUAUCUGGAGGAACACCGGUGGCGAAGGCGGCAUCCUGGACCGGUAUUGACGCUGAGGCGCGAAAGCCAGGGGAGCCAAAGCGGG